rnacentral:rRNA from 1 species
AUGGCCGCUGCUUCACUCAUCCUUAGCCGCUGCCGAUGCACAGCAAGCAGCUUCUGCCGCUCAGAUGUGCCUACGACAGGACGACCGCUCCUCCUUCCUUUGCCUGAAUGUGUCCGCGGCAAGAUGGUCGUUCCUCCUUCUGUCGCUGGGAGAGAUGAAGACGGCCAGUUGUUGGGAGAAAGACAAGCAGGAGGAGAGAUGACCGGGAGGAGACGGGCACGGGCUCGAAAUCGGGAGGCUCUGGGGUCGCGCGCCCGGCCAGAACGGAGCUCCGCCGGCCACCCGGCCACGGGCUCAAAAUCGGGAGGCUCCGGGGUCGCGCGCCCAGCCAGAACGGAGCUCCGCCGGACACCCGGCCACGGGUUCAGAAUCGGGAGGCUCCAGGGUCGCGCGCCUGGCCAGAACAGAGCUCCGCGUCGACGUCCUGGUGGAUGA